rnacentral:rRNA from 1 species
AAUAGCAUGCUGUCUAGUAUAAGCUAUCUUAUACAGCGAAACUGCGAAUGGCUCAUUAAAUCAGUUAUAGUCUACUUGAUCGUAUCUUCUUACAUGGAUAACCGUAGUAAAUCUAGAGCUAAUACAUGCUAAAAAUCCUGGACGCGGCAACGCGGAAGGGACGAGUUUAUUAGAUUAAAAACCGACACCUCUCCGCGAGGGGAGGUAGCACAGGUGAUUCACAGUAACCGAUCGGAUCGUCGGCCCCGCCGACGACGAUGCAUACGAGUUUCUGCCCUAUCAACUUUAGAUGGU